AGUGGCGGACGGGUGAGUAACGCGUGAGAAUCUGCCUUGGGGUCGGGGACAACCACUGGAAACGGUGGCUAAUACCGGAUAAGCCGAUUGGUGAAAGAUUUAUUGCCCGAAGAGGCGCUCGCGUCUGAUUAGCUAGUUGGUGAGGUAAGAGCUCACCAAGGCAGCGAUCAGUAGCUGGUCUGAGAGGACGAUCAGCCACACUGGGACUGAGACACGGCCCAGACUCCUACGGGAGGCAGCAGUGGGGAAUUUUCCGCAAUGGGCGAAAGCCUGACGGAGCAAGACCGCGUGAGGGAGGAAGGCUCUUGGGUUGUAAACCUCUUUUCUCAGGGAAGAAGCUCUGACGGUACCUGAGGAAUCAGCCUCGGCUAACUCCGUGCCAGCAGCCGCGGUAAUACGGAGGAGGCAAGCGUUAUCCGGAAUUAUUGGGCGUAAAGCGUCCGCAGGUGGCGAUUCAAGUCUGCUGUCAAAGCACGGGGCUUAACUCCGUAAAGGCAGUGGAAACUGAAUAGCUAGAGUGCCGUAGGGGUAGAGGGAAUUCCCGGUGUAGCGGUGAAAUGCGUAGAGAUCGGGAAGAACAUCGGUGGCGAAAGCGCUCUACUGGACGGCAACUGACACUCAGGGACGAAAGCUAGGGGAGCGAAUGGGAUUAGAUACCCC
rnacentral:rRNA from 1 species